UUCCUGGCUCCUUUUCUGCUCCCGGGACUGGGAAAGCCACGCCAGGGUCCUGAAUGUUGAAUUAUAGGGAUCAUCGGUCCUUGGAUUUCAGAGGAGAGGAUGGCAAGAUGACCUUGGUUCAAAUCCUGACAGUGACAUUUGCUCGUUCAGAGACCUUAGAGAGAGACACAGCAUGAGCAGGGGAGGGCAGAGAGAGAGGGAGACACAGAAUCUCCGAGCUGUCAACACAGAGCCUGACGCGGGGCUCGAACUCACAAACUGUGAGAUCAUGAUCUGAACCGAAGUCAGACGCUUAACUGACUGAGCCACCCAGGCACCCCUCCCCCAUUCCCUUUCUGUCCCCGUCAGCCUGUUACUCGUUUCUCUAUGUCACUUCUCAUCAUCUGAAAUGGUGUUGGUCUCAUGUUUGUGUGUUUAUUGCCUAUAAGGGGUAUCUGGGCCUUGGAGGGCGAGGUCCAGACAAAGGAAGUCAGGAAGGAAAAAGCCAAGUCGCAGGGUCUAGGCUGGGUCCGUCUUACUGGAUGAUCCGAGGCUGCUUUUGGAGGGAGAGCUUUGCGCGACCCUGAUGAGCCAGCUGACGGGGCUCUCAGUUACCGAGAGCAAUCGCUGCUUGCUAGAAGCUUCACUGGGUCACCAUGGAGGCUGGAUCCGUUCUCCCGCACCUUAGUGGUAAAAAGGACAAAAGCUGGCCAAACACCCGACCUGUCAGGCCCUUCUGGAAAGCAGGAGGCCGCCACCUGGUGAAUAAUUCACCUGCAGUCAGCAGCCUUGAAUGCUGCGUUGGCAAAAAGCAAACGGCCUGCAGAACUGUUUAUUUUUAAUCUGCUCAAAACCCGGGUCUUAAAGCGCUUACUUUUCCAUCCCUACUAAUUUGGGAGGCAAUUAGCUGUUGGGUGUUCUUGCCCGCCAGCUCCCUCCCUGCGUGUCUGCUCGUUCAGUGUGCUCGUUCCUGCCCAAAUAGGCCAGCUGUGAAGAGCUCUGUUAAUCUGCUCUUAAACUACAAUUUUUAACAAGACUCUUAAAUGAUAGAGGCAUUUGUGCAUAAAUAGCACAUGGUAAGCCUCCCCUUGGGACACUAACCUGAUUUAUUAAAAAUGCUGUAACUACCAAGCUUUAUAUGUCAACAUCAUUAACACAAAAAUAUAUGAUCUAAUCUCCUCUCGUGGCCCGGCCGUGACGCAGGCAGACAGCUCGGAGGAGAGGUAGGAACCUGAAGAGGCACACCAUGAGGGGCCAAAGGGGCUGUUUUUGAAUUUUUUCCAUGAGGCCAGGCCAGCCAACCAAAAUCUGUUCUCUCCAACCUCGGCCUGGGAAAUGUGGAGAAAAACAGACCCGAAUUUCUUUCCAUGACCAACAUUCCCACCGUGUGGGGCCGGGGGUGAGGUCACCCUGACACCUUUCUCUGUGACUCUGAUGGGCUGGGGAGGGCCCAGGGCCCACCCCCUCCCCCACCCCCAGGCAGGACUUGAACUCUGGUGCCCAGACCACCCCACCUGCCAGAUGCUCAGCGUGUCCCGAGAGGCACCCAUCCACGCGUCCCCCUCACGACUGUCACUCGGGCCACCUCCGUGCCCCACCUGUGCUCCUAUGUGAUAUUGUUCUAGAAAUGGACUCAUCGUUUCAAAUGUUAGCCUCAAACCAAGCAAUAUUGUCUAUGAAAUCCUACAUUUGAUGUGCUAGUUACAAAUGCCUUUCUUUAAAACUUUAAAAAACCGGGGCACCCGGGUGGCUCGGUCGGUUCAGCGGCCCACCCUUGGUUUCUGCUCAGGUCACGACCUCACGGUUUGUGAGUUCAAGUUGCGCAUCGGGCCCUGCGCUGACAGCGUGGAGCCUGCUGGGGAUUCUCUCUCUCCCUCUCUCUCUGCCCC